GGGGGGAUAGCGUAGUAGUAGAAGCGCCUAGAAGGCCCCGCUUUAUCGGCGAGGUCGUGGGUUCGAAUCCCGCUCCCCCUA
rfam:Ophiocordyceps sinensis CO18 unplaced genomic scaffold OCS_Scf_4311, whole genome shotgun sequence.